rnacentral:rRNA from 1 species
CCUACGGGUGGCAGCAGUGAGGAAUAUUAGUCAAUGGGAGAGAUCCUGAACCAGCCAAGCCGCGUGAGGGAAGACGGCCCUAUGGGUUGUCAACCUCUUUUGUCGGAGCACAAAACCCGGGACGUGUCCCGGACUGCGUGUCUCCGAAGAAAAAGCAUCGGCUAACUCCGUGCCAGCAGCCGCGGUAAAACGGAGGCUGCGAGCGUUAUCCGGAUUUAGUGGGUUUAAAGGUGUCGUAGGCGGUCCGUUAAGUCAGCCGUAAAAUUGCGGGGCUCAACCCCGUCGAGCCGUUGAAACUGGCAGACUUGAGUUGGCGAGAAGUACGCGGAAUUCCUGGUGUAGCGGUGAAAUGCGGAGAUAUCAGGAGGAACACCGGCGGCGAAGGCGGCCUGCUGGACUGAAACUGACGUUGAGGCUCGAAAGCGUGGGGAGCAAACAGGAUUAGAUACCCGUGUAGUC